rnacentral:rRNA from 1 species
UGUAAAGCACUUUCAGUGAGGAAGAACGCCUUGGGCUAAUACGGCCAAGGAGCGACAUCACUCACAGAAGAAGCACCGGCUAACUCCGUGCCAGCAGCCGCGGUAAUACGGAGGGUGCGAGCGUUAAUCGGAAUGACUGGGCGUAAAGCGCGCGUAGGCGGCCAAGUAAGCCGGUUGUGAAAGCCCCGGGCUCAACCUGGGAACGGCAUCCGGAACUGCUUGGCUAGAGUGCAGGAGAGGAAGGUAGAAUUCCCGGUGUAGCGGUGAAAUGCGUAGAGAUCGGGAGGAAUACCAGUGGCGAAGGCGGCCUUCUGGACUGACACUGACGCUGAGGUGCGAAAGCGUGGGUAGCAAACAGGAUUAGAUACCCUGGUAGUCCACGCCGUAAACGAUGUCGACUAGCCGUUGGGUCCCUUGAGGACUUAGUGGCGCAGUUAACGCGAUAAGUCGACCGCCUGGGGAGUACGGCCGCAAGGUUAAAACUCAAAUGAAUUGACGGGGGCCCGCACAAGCGGUGGAGCAUGUGGUUUAAUUCGAUGCAACGCGAAGAACCUUACCUACCCUUGACAUCCUGCGAAGCCGGAAGAGAUUCUGGUGUGCCUUCGGGAGCGCAGAGACAGGUGCUGCAUGGCUGUCGUCAGCUCGUGUUGUGAAAUGUUGGGUUAAGUCCCGUAACGAGCGCAACCCUUGUCCUUAUUUGCCAGCACGUCAUGGUGGGAACUCUAAGGAAACUGCCGGUGACAAACCGGAGGAAGGUGGGGACGACGUCAAGUCAUCAUGGCCCUCACGGGUAGGGCUACACACGUGCUACAAUGGCCGGUACAAAGGGAGGCGAAGCCGCGAGGUGAAGCGAAUCCCGAAAAGCCGGUCUCAGUCCGGAUCGGAGUCUGCAACUCGACUCCGUGAAGUCGGAAUCGCUAGUAAUCGCGAAUCAGAAUGUCGCGGUGAAUACGUUCCCGGGCCUUGUACACACCGCCCGUCACACCAUGGGAGUGGAUUGCACCAGAAGUAGUUAGUCUAACCU